ensembl:lncRNA novel transcript
UUUCAGCAGUCACUUUAACUAAAAAGUCUUUGCUAUUUGAGAUUUUAUCUUCUUGUCUGUUAAAAAACUGUUUGGCACCUUAAUUUGCAUGAAUCGAUUUCCAGUCGCUCAAAUCCAGUUUGUGCAAUGACAAGCUGGUGUGGCUGAAACGGCAGUUGCUCAAGAGCAUUAGAACAGCCUUCACCAUGUGGGUUUACAUGGACAGCACGGUCAGCAGACAGUGAGACGGGCGCUUGUCCACUCGUCUGACACCGUGGGGCCAUAGGAGGCAGCGACUGAGAAGGUCAGUCCCAUUAAAAAUGCCCUUUGGCUCAUCUGGAAGCUGUAUCUCUGGUCAUGCACCAUGCCAGCCACGCCAGCCACGCCAGCAUUAUCACGGCAUGUGCUUUAAAAUCAUGCAGACGUUGUUCUAGAGUGAGUGUGAACAGCUUUCACACUUGGGCACUGUGCCGGUUCCCAUGCUGGCUUUCCCACAUGCACACAGGUGGCUGGCACGCAGCUCUGCACCUCUUACUGUUGGGAGCUCAGAAGCCUCUCUCUGUGGUGGUUUUUCAUCUCGGGAUAAUUGAACCCAGCUGGGAAGUACCAGGACCAGAGAAUCUCUGCUGCAUAAUAUCACCACCCCGUGGCAACUCACAAAGCAAGAUUUUCACCGAGAAUCGCACAUAGAAAUAAUUUCACAUCUGCUUCUGGAAAGAUUUUCACCGAGAAUCGCACAUAGAAAGAAUUCCACAUCUGCUUCUGGAGCACAUUUCCCUCUAAAGAGAGGGGCAGAGCGACUUCACCGUCUGUCGUCAUCUGGUGGUGGAAACCACUUCUAGGUUUGAAGGUGAGUUAUUCAUGCUGGAAUUUCGUGAUCUCUGUGGGGACUGUGGCUUAUUCAUUGGAGCUUGAAUAUUUUUCAGGGUUUGCUUUGGUGUGAUUAUACAUAUAAAGAUAUGUCUAGAA